GGGGAAUAUUGCACAAUGGGCGGAAGCCUGAUGCAGCGACGCCGCGUGGGGGAUGAAGGCCUUCGGGUUGUAAACCUCUUUCGCCAGGGAAGAAGCUUUUGUGACGGUACCUGGAGAAGAAGCACCGGCUAACUACGUGCCAGCAGCCGCGGUAAUACGUAGUGUGCGAGCGUUGUCCGGAAUUAUUGGGCGUAAAGAGCUUGUAGGCGGUUUGUCGCGUCUGCCGUGAAAACUCGAGGCUUAACCUUGGGCGUGCGGUGGGUACGGGCAGGCUAGAGUGUGGUAGGGGAGACUGGAAUUCCUGGUGUAGCGGUGAAAUGCGCAGAUAUCAGGAGGAACACCGAUGGCGAAGGCAGGUCUCUGGGCCACUACUGACGCUGAGAAGCGAAAGCAUGGGGAGCGAAC
rnacentral:rRNA from 1 species